UAUUAUGAAACUUACAAAUUCAAAAAAUGAAGGUGAAAACCUAUCUUGUUAGCAAAGGCACCUGGGAAGAAAAGUUCAGGGUACAUGCCAGCUUUUGAGAAGAUUACGCGCCACUUAACAUUACAUGAAGAAUAACCAGGUCAAAAGAGAAAGUGCUGUCCGUGCAAUUCUCACCAGUACAACAAUACACAAAUCUGCAGGGCUUAGCAAGUAUUAGUUGAAGGAGAAUGGCACCGUUACGAGCUCUAAACUUGCAAGUUCUUACUCCGCAAGUCCUCCAAUUCUUUGCCGCUCAUGGCAUCAUAUCAGUUGAGGAUUUUCUAAUCCAUGAUCUCUAUACAUUGGCAGCAAUUGCAGAGCAUCAGGGUAGCUCAGAAGUAUUGAAGCAGGCUAUUGCAGAAAUUUUAUCUUUUGUUGAUAAGCAGCAUGCCCAAUGGUUGACUGGAGCUCAGUUACUUGACAGUAUACAGCAAAAUAAACUUGUUCUACCCACUGGUUGUGAAGGGGUGGAUUCACUUCUUGGAGGUGGAUUACUUGAAGGCACCCUCACAGAGCUAGUUGGUCCUUCAGCAUCUGGUAAAACCCAAAUAUGCUUGCGUGCUACUUCCCAUGUUGCAUAUCAUUCUCAAGCAGCAGUCAUGUACUUGGACACAUGUAACUCAUUCUCCUCUAAACGCGUCGUAGACUUCCUUGAUGUUCUUUGUAAAUCUUCCCUUAACUCAAAGGAUCAACAAGGAGAAUUUGAAAGAACAAUGAAAGAAAUUUUCCAUUAUAAUGUGUUCGACAUCUACUCCAUGCUGGACUUACUACACCAUACUGAAUUUUGCAUGAGGACUCAGGAUAAAAAUAGAAAUCCAAUGGUGCGUUUACUCAUUGUAGAUUCAGUAUCUUCUGUUAUAACUCCAGUUCUCAGUGGCAGCAAUUUGCAAGGGCAUUCACUAAUGAUUAGCCUUGGAAUGAUUCUAAAGAAACUUGCUUUAGAGUACAAUCUUGCAGUAUUGGAUUCUGUGCUCAUAAGGGUGAUAUUUUGUCAAAUAAAUACGAUCAUCUUAUGUUCUGAAAGAAAAAAUAAUACAAUGAUCACAAAUCACACAGUUUUGGACAAAUGGGGGGUAUUAAAGCCUGCCCUUGGAGAGAGUUGGAAAUGUAUGCCACAUGUUAGAUUGUUGCUGUCCCGGGACCCUGUCAAUGACAUCUGUGACAUCUCCCUUAUCAAACAUACUUCCAAGGAGUGUCAUCAGCGGAUGAUUUUUGGCCCAAGCACUUAACCUACUAUCCAGAAAGAUCCUGAGCUGGUGAGAAGAAUUGGUGCUGCCACAGCUUUGGAAGUUCGAGCUACGGGAAUUUCUUAUGCAUUCUCUCCAUGUGUUGCUGUAAGAUCCAGGAUUGGAUAUGCUUCAAAUAGUAACAUUCUAGCUUGCUUAAGGUUUCUUAAUAUGUGGUUAUGAACAAGUUUGCCGAGAUCCUCGAUGGGGGCGAUGCUAUGAGAGCUACAACGAGGAUCCAGAGCUGGUGAAGUCUAUGACUGAUAUCAUCUUUGGUUUGCAGCGGUAGCCCCCUGAAAACCACCAAAAGGGAUUUCCCUUUGUAGCAGGACUAUCAACGUUUCUUGGAGCUACAGGUGCUUAAAUCGAAUAUAUUGGAGCAUCUAGUACAAUAUCAUAUCUUGGAACACAACUUCUACAAAACAACACCAGAUACAUGUGUGGUAGGAUCAUUCAAUCGAAUUUACCCAUUCAUUUGAGACAAGAGAAGAUCCAAUACAGGUGAACAGAUCUUCAAUCGAAUUCCCAUUCUAGAUCUGCCAUAGAAUUUAGUUUAACUGGAGAACAUGAAAUGGUUUGCAUG